UUGAAAGGGAAACGAUUGAAGUCAGUCAUGCCGGUGAGAAUCAGCUUACAGGCUACUGUGAGUGCACUUUUUCGCAGGCAGGUUAACAUUGGUUUUUGUUGCGUCAUACUGAUUGUAGGAAGGUGGCUCCUUCGGGAGUGUUAUAGCCUACUUUAGAUGGCGCGGCGAGGACUGAGGAUUGCAGCGAAUGCCUUUGGCUACGGAUCUUUCUCUGUCGAUCUUCAAUUGAUCGUCAGCUUGCUGACAAGCGGUUGAUGAGUUUACAAUAGGAUGGAAUCCGUUAAGUUCGUUAAGGAUGUUGACGUA
rnacentral:rRNA from 1 species